UACGGAGGGGGCUAGCGUUGUUCGGAAUUACUGGGCGUAAAGCGCACGUAGGCGGCUUUGUAAGUUAGAGGUGAAAGCCCGGAGCUCAACUCCGGAAUUGCCUUUGAAACUAGGUGACUUGAAUCAUGGAGAGGUCAGUGGAAUUCCGAGUGUAGAGGUGAAAUUCGUAGAUAUUCGGAAGAACACCAGUGGCGAAGGCGGCUGACUGGACAUGUAUUGACGCUGAGGUGCGAAAGCGUGGGGAGCAAACAGG
rnacentral:rRNA from 1 species